CACAGACGUGCUUUGAAUUCUUCAUUCCCUCUCCCUAGACCCUCUGCUUGGCCCUGAUCUCAUUCUUACACUUCAUUUGCUUUUUUUACUCACGUUUGUUAGAGACAAAUUCUUCUCCGUACACAGAAUCGAACUAUGCACUCACCGUAACCACGAUUCCACGCACAAUACCAGGUUUAAUUCUGUAUUAUGCUUGUUUUUUGAUGUCUGUGUCACUAUUAUCAAACCAUGUAUUUAAUAAAACAGCCCUUUCCAUCCACAGCUACAGGAAC